ACUCAGCUUUGCCUCUAGAUUUGGGAGCUAGAAAGUCUGCUGGAUUUCGCCAGUGGGAGGCAAUUAGAAGAUUAAUUUAAAGAUCAGAUAAGCAGUAGAGAUAAAAGCCACUCUGAGGGCAGGAGACUUGACCUAAGAUUAUCUGAAAAUGUCAGUAGCUAGAGAACAAGCAACAGUGAGAAAGAGAAUUUCCAGAAAAGAGUCAACGAUGGAACAAGGUCAGAGAAGAGAAUAAAAUCAAGAAAUUUAAGCGGAGAAAUUUUCCUUAGAAAAGAGAAAGGACAUUUGUCAAUUUUGAAGCAGAGGAGAGCUCAUUUGAUAGCUUGCACUGCAUAAACUUUACCAUUUCGGUAAAGCUAGGAGAUUACAGAUGGAUUCUGUUUAGGAGAGAGAGAAGAGGAAUAUAUGUACAAUCCCUAGGAGAACAGGUGAAGGAAAGAGGUGGUAGAAAAAUCACAGCACACUGUCAUGGAUUUGGAGUCAGAUAGAGCUGGGUUUCAGUCUCUCAUACUGGACUUUUCUCAAUUCCUCCGAGACUCAGCAUCCUUAUCAGUGAAAUGGACAAAAU
rnacentral:lncRNA from 1 species